rnacentral:tRNA from 1 species
GCCUUUGUAGUGUAACGGUAGCACACUCGGUGCGUAUUCGAGAGGUCCAGGUUCGAGUCCCGGCGAGGGCA